rnacentral:lncRNA from 7 species
UCGACCGCCAUGCGCGCUCGUGUUGGGACCUUGGUGUCCCGGCCCUCUACCUCCACUCCCCUAUAUACCGCUCGCGGCUCGCCCGACCACCGGUCGCACCCAUGCCACCACCACGAAAUCCGAAGUUGAGUGCCGGACCGCUAUUACAGAGGAAAAGGUGUGCCGCCAUGGUUCCUCGCUCCACUGGCGUUCGGUGUGCACGGCCCAGUUGCUGACAAUCGCAUGCCGUGGGAAGUAAGGGCGGAGCCGCGACUGGCUAAUCUGGGCAUCGGCUCGUUGAUUCUCCUGGGCAUGCAGUGUUCUCGGCGCGGGUGGCCGGAUCUUGGCCGGAAAUGGGAAUCCCGCCAGACCCACGCUCCGCCUCGUCCAGCUUCGAUUACGCUGCGAUUCAUG